UACAGAGGGGGCAAGCGUUAUUCGGAAUUACUGGGCGUAAAGUGUGCGCAGGCGGCCGCGCAAGUCGAGUGUGAAAGCCCCGGGCUUAACUUGGGAAUUGCGCUCGAAACUACGUGGCUGGAGUAUGGCAGAGGAAGGUGGAAUUCCACGUGUAGCGGUGAAAUGCGUAGAGAUGUGGAGGAACACCGAUGGCGAAGGCAGCCUUCUGGGCCAAUACUGACGCUCAUGCACGAAAGCGUGGGGAGCAAACAGG
rnacentral:rRNA from 1 species